AUACGGAGGAUCCGAGCGUUAUCCGGAUUUAUUGGGUUUAAAGGGAGCGUAGGUGGACUGGUAAGUCAGUUGUGAAAGUUUGCGGCUCAACCGUAAAAUUGCAGUUGAUACUGUCAGUCUUGAGUACAGUAGAGGUGGGCGGAAUUCGUGGUGUAGCGGUGAAAUGCUUAGAUAUCACGAAGAACUCCGAUUGCGAAGGCAGCUCACUGGACUGCAACUGACACUGAUGCUCGGAAGUGUGGGUAUCAAACAGGAUUAGAUACCCUGGUAGUCCACACAGUAAACGAUGAAUACUCGCUGUUUGCGAUAUACAGUAAGCGGCCAAGCGAAAGCAUUAAGUAUUCCACCUGGGGAGUACGCCGGCAACGGCGAAACUCAAAGGAAUUGACGGGGGCCCGCACAAGCGGAGGAACAUGUGGUUUAAUUCGAUGAUACGCGAGGAACCUUACCCGGGCUUAAAUUGCAGUGGAAUGAUGUGGAAACAUGUCAGUGAGCAAUCACCGCUGUGAAGGUGCUGCAUGGUUGUCGUCAGCUCGUGCCGUGAGGUGUCGGCUUAAGUGCCAUAACGAACGCAACCCUUAUCUUCAGUUACUAACAGGUCAUGCUGAGGACUCUGGAGAGACUGCCGUCGUAAGAUGUGAGGAAGGUGGGGAUGACGUCAAAUCAGCACGGCCCUUACGUCCGGGGCUACACACGUGUUACAAUGGGGGGUACAGAAGGCAGCUAGCGGGUGACCGUAUGCUAAUCCCAAAAGCCUCUCUCAGUUCGGAUCGAAGUCUGCAACCCGACUUCGUGAAGCUGGAUUCGCUAGUAAUCGCGCAUCAGCCACGGCGCGGUGAAUACGUUCCCGGGCCUUGUACACACCGCCCGUCAAGCCAUGGGAGCCGGGGGUACCUGAAGUACGUAACCGCAAGGGUCGUCCUAGGGUAAAACUGGUGACUGGGGCU
rnacentral:rRNA from 1 species